UCAGAUUGCUUCACCUUCCAUAGAGAACUCUCUAAAACAAUGUCUUAAUUCAUUCUCAAAACUUCACAACCAAAUUGUAUGUAGUUGAGGCAUCGUGGCUCCUCUAAAGAUGAAGAAACUGGCAUCCAGAAAAACUUCUACUAUAUGCCAAGUGCUGUUCUUGCCACAAGAGGUACAAGAGAACAAUGAAGCAAUGUCCCUACUCCUGGGAAUUUACAUUCUAAUGAGCAUGAGUUGCCCAUUGUGUAUGAAGAAGCAUUGUUUCCUGUACAAAGAUGCUGAUAGAGAUGAUUCAAGGAAUAACGGAUUUCUCCUUGGAUCUUGAUCCAGGCUCCUUGGUGUCUGGAACAGUGUGUGGUCCCUACAGAUACUGAAGAGUUCUGCUGACUGAUGGAAUGAAUUAGCAAAUGAACAAACAGCUCUAUGAGGAAUGGAUGAUCACAACUCCCAUGGGACAAAUGAGGGACACAAAGCAAGCGCAGUUAAGCUCCCUGGUGUCUGGAACAGUGCAUGGUCCCUACAGAUACUGAAGAGUUCUGCUGACUGAUGGAAUGUUCGAGUGAAUCUAAUUAAUUCAGCCCGGGUUGCUCAGUGGUUUAGCGCCGCCUUUGGCCCAGAGCCUGAUCCUGGAGACCCAGGAUCGAGUCCCAUGUCCGGCUCCCGGCACGGAGCUGGCUUCUCCCUCUGCCUGUGUCU